UACGGAGGGUGCAAGCGUUAUCCGGAUUCACUGGGUUUAAAGGGAGCGUAGGUGGCUUUGUAAGUCAGUGGUGAAAUGCCGCAGCUUAACUGCGGAACUGCCAUUGAUACUGCUUAGCUUGAAUCACGUCGAGGUGGAUGGAAUAUUACAUGUAGCGGUGAAAUGCUUAGAUAUGUAAUAGAACACCGAUUGCGAAGGCAGUUCACUAGGCGUGUAUUGACACUGAGGCUCGAAAGCGUGGGGAUCAAACAGG
rnacentral:rRNA from 1 species